GAUGAACGCUAGCGGCAGGCUUAAUACAUGCAAGUCGUGGGGCAGCAGGCCUGUAGCAAUACAGAUGCUGGCGACCGGCAAACGGGUGCGUAACACGUACGCAACUUACCCAUUACAGGGGAAUAGCCCAGGGAAACUUGGAUUAAUACCCCAUAUUAUAUAGGAUUGGCAUCAGUCUUAUAUCAAAGCUUCGGCGGUAAUGGAUGGGCGUGCGGUUGAUUAGAUAGUUGGCGGGGUAACGGCCCACCAAGUCUACGAUCAAUAGCUGAUGUGGAGACAUGAUCGGCCACACGGGCACUGAGACACGGGCCCGACUCCUACGGGAGGCAGCAGUAAGGAAUAUUGGGCAAUGGACGAAAGUCUGACCCAGCCAUGCCGCGUGAAGGAUGAAGGUCCUCUGGAUUGUAAACUUCUUUUAUCUGGGGCGAAAAUCACCCUUUCUAGGGUGCUUGACAGUACCAGAGGAAUAAGCACCGGCUAACUCCGUGCCAGCCGCCGCAGUAAAAC
rnacentral:rRNA from 1 species